rfam:Streptococcus agalactiae LMG 14747 ctg7180000010202, whole genome shotgun sequence.
ACAUUGCUGUGGUAUACGAAUUCACAUCUAAGUGUUGACCGACUAAUUCUUUGUAUUUUCGGGAGACGAAAGAUUCUUGACAGCAUGCAAGCCGUUCACACGCGGAAGCAGCUAGAGUCAAGAACGAGUCACCCACCUGCUUUAUUGUGCGGGUUCAAUACAAGCCGUGGAUCACCGGUACCAAUACAGCUUUUUC